AUACGGAGGGUGCGAGCGUUAAUCGGAAUUACUGGGCGUAAAGGGUGCGUAGGCGGCUUGAUAAGUCGGAUGUGAAAGCCCCGGGCUUAACCUGGGAAUUGCAUUCGAUACUGUCAGGCUAGAGUAUGUCAGAGGUUGGCGGAAUUCCUAGUGUAGCGGUGAAAUGCGUAGAUAUCAGGAGGAACACCAGUGGCGAAGGCGGCUAACUGGGGCAAUACUGACGCUGAGGCACGAAAGCGUGGGGAGCAAACAGGAUUAGAAACCCCAGUAGUCC
rnacentral:rRNA from 1 species